CAGCCGCCGCGGUAAUACGAAGGGUGCAAGCGUUAAUCGGAAUUACUGGGCGUAAAGCGUGCGUAGGCGGUUUGUUAAGUCUGUUGUGAAAUCCCCGGGCUCAACCUGGGAAUGGCAGUGGAUACUGGCUCGCUAGAGUGUGUCAGAGGAUGGUGGAAUUCCCGGUGUAGCGGUGAAAUGCGUAGAGAUCGGGAGGAACAUCAGUGGCGAAGGCGGCCAUCUGGGACAACACUGACGCUGAGGCACGAAAGCGUGGGGAGCAAACAGGAUUAGAUACCCCAGUAGUCCCUGUCUCUUAUAC
rnacentral:rRNA from 1 species